AUGCAGUCGAGCGGCAGCACGGAAAGCUUGCUUUCUGGUGGCGAGCGGCGGACGGGUGAGUAAUGCAUAGGAAUCUGCCCGGUAGUGGGGGAUAACCUGGGGAAACCCAGGCUAAUACCGCAACGUCCUACGGGAGAAAGGGGGCUUCGGCUCCCGCUAUCGGAUGAGCCUAUGUCGGAUUAGCUAGUUGGUGAGGUAAUGGCUCACCAAGGCGACGAUCCGUAGCUGGUCUGAGAGGAUGAUCAGCCACAUCGGGACUGAGACACGGCCCGAACUCCUACGGGAGGCAGCAGUGGGGAAUAUUGGACAAUGGGCGCAAGCCUGAUCCAGCCAUGCCGCGUGUGUGAAGAAGGCCCUCGGGUUGUAAAGCACUUUCAGUGAGGAAGAACGCCUAUCGGUUAAUACCCGGUAGGGAAGACAUCACUCACAGAAGAAGCACCGGCUAACUCCGUGCCAGCAGCCGCGGUAAUACGGAGGGUGCGAGCGUUAAUCGGAAUUACUGGGCGUAAAGCGCGCGUAGGUGGCUAAAUAAGCCGGUGUGAAAGCCCCGGGCUCAACCUGGGAACGGCAUCCGGAACUGUUUGGCUAGAGUGCAGAGAGGAAGGUAGAAUUCCCGGUGUAGCGGUGAAAUGCGUAGAGAUCGGGAGGAAUACCAGUGGCGAAGCGGCCUUCUGGACUGACACUGACCACUGAGGUGCGAAAGCGUGGGUAGCAAACAGGAUAGAUA
rnacentral:rRNA from 1 species